UACCAGCACCCCGAGUGGUCGGGACGUUUAUUGGGCCUAAAGCAUCCGUAGCCGGUUCUACAAGUCUUCCGUUAAAUCCAACUGCUUAACAGGUGGGCUGCGGAAGAUACUAUAGAGCUAGGAGGCGGGAGAGGCAAGCGGUACUCGAUGGGUAGGGGGUAAAAUCCGUUGAUCCAUUGAAGACCACCAGUGGCGAAGGCGGCUUGCCAGAACGCGCUCGACGGUGAGGGAUGAAAGCUGGGGGAGCAAACCGGG
rnacentral:rRNA from 1 species